rnacentral:rRNA from 1 species
GUCCACGCCCUAAACGAUGGAUACUAGGCGUAAGAGGUAUCGACCCCUCUUGUGCCGCAGCUAACGCACUAAGUAUCCCGCCUGGGGAGUACGGCCGCAAGGUUGAAACUCAAAUGAAUUGACGGGGACCCGCACAAGCGGUGGAGCAUGUGGAUUAAUUCGAUACUAACCGAAGAACCUUACCCAGGUUUGACAUCGAUUGUAAGCCUAAGAGAUUAGGCCCUCCCCCACAAGGGGACAUGAAGACACUUGUUGCAUGGCUGUCGU